ensembl:lncRNA
GGAGAAUUCACAAUAAAUCCCUCUCACAGCCACCGGAGGGCGAGCAUUCAAGGUGAGCACGGGUGAAGAGGAUAACUAUACAAAUCAUUGGAAAUCUCCUUUGAUAAAUUCAUUUGAUCGCCUAUUCCCUAUGGGCACAAUGCUAUUGAUUUUUUAAACCAAUCUCUUCUUGGCUUUUCUAUAGCAAUCGGGUGAAUACGAUUUACAUUGUGUUAGGAACCUUUGAUUCCGGAUAUCAUGUUGACAAUGGGACACGGUUAACUGUAAAACAGGAUGUUUUUCUCCGUCGUUCAGGUAACGCUGCGAGUACAGCUCCGGGGGAAAAAAAUUACAAGACCACUGAACCAUUGAUCUGUUCUUUCCCCGUGAGCAGAGUAGGGCCGAGCCAGGGAUGCAUGCCUGCCUGCCUGCCUGCCUGCCUGCCUGCCUGCCUGCCUGCCUGCCUGCAUAGAGAAACUAGAGCCAGGGCUAACCCUAUCAUCCAGUACCCAGGUGAGAAUUGUGCUACAUAAAUAUACUGUGUAGCCUGUAUAGAGAACCAGGGCAUGAUCCUCCUUCCUGUUGUGUGUGUGUGUGUGUGUUUGCUGUGAAAAUUGUGAAUCCAACAACACCAGGCCUGUGCUAAUCGCACCUGUAGUUCCUAAGAUAGUCCAAGUUGAAGCACAGCCAAUCACAAGCCAGAUAUUCAAAUGAGAGUCAAACUCUUGAGGGUCAAAGUCGUUUUUAUGCUUAUACCUAACCCUAACCCUAACCUCUAUUCCAAGGUUUGCUCUAAUUUAGCGCCUUAUCCUUACCCAUGGCCCUACAAGGUGGAGUUGGACUUUCCUUUAGAUAAUGACUCCCUUCUUUUAAGCCUAUGUGGCUACUUUGACCCCUGACUCCGGGGAGUCUUUAUUCUCUUUAGCUAAUUAGAAGUACGGAUAAGGAAUUACGGAUUUCUUUUCUCCUUGUUUUGGAUCAGAUUCCCUCCUAUUGGGGGCUUAUUAUUUGAUUUAAAUUAUAAUUUAUAGUCCCAUUUCUAAAUUUAAUAAAAUUAGUUAGGGGAAGGACAAAGUUGCGUACAAACUAAUGUGCACGCACUUUCCGCCAUCUCUUUCUUUUCAGCCACGCACUCGUCUUGAACGCACGGUAGAGAGCUAUUACUACUUAAUAAGCCUGAUGAAGACCAAUCUUGGUCGAAACGUUGCUUGUUGUAUAUAGUUUUUAUUGUUAAUAAACUUAUAUAAUUUUGAAAUCAUCACAGAGUUUAUUUUCGGUUCUUUACAAAAAGUUUAGUUCGAGUUUUUGCACAGUGAUGGCUCCUGGAUGUGAAUAAAAUGUCUCGUUGGCGACGAAAUUAUGAGGAUUAUUGGGAUAACCAUGAUUAUGAGCAACCCAGACGACGUCGAAGGUCGUUUUCGCCGCCUGGGCGACGUUAUAAUAAUCCCUAUAAUAAUCGUUACAACCAUGAUGGCCGCUCGUAUGCUACUGUUGUCCGUGAGGGCCGACCACGUGCAACUUGGCCUGUCCAGCACCGGUAUGGGCCUCAAGACUAUGCUAACCCGAACCAGGGUAGAUAUCGUCGACGUCCCCGGAGUGGUGGGGACCGGUCCUAUCCCAGAAGGAGAUCCAGGGACAAUUACCGCCGUCCGACGCGCCGGCCUGCCAGCCGGUCCAGGGUGGUACGUACUCGAAGUCAGGGGCGACGGAGGUCGAAUAGCAGGGACCUACCGUCGGAUAAGCCCAUUAGUACGGACCCCGAAUUCACUGCAAAGACACGGGGUAUAUUAAAAUUAAUUAAGGCUACCCACCAUUUAGGAAAUGUUAUGUCGGAACAGCCUCCAAUUUCAAUAGCUAACAUAGCUAAUCAUUUAAUUACGGCUAUUAAACCUGCUGCCCCUACGGCGAAUACAUUGUCCCUCAUAGAGGGGAAUGCUAGGUAUUGGGCACAGAAUACAAUGAUCAUACUCAGGGAUCAUUACCAAGAUGACAUUCAAAAUGCUGUCCAGAUCCUAAUACAAUUAGAAGCCUGGGACUGGAGACAGAACUUUGAUAUUGCUUCUGCAUGGGCUAAGAGCCAAUUUGGACGCAGGUUGAGGGAGGACACUUUGGAUGAAGUACAAACUCAAUUACGUGAGAGACUAAUUGCCCCCUCCAGAACACAGCGUGUCUCUGAAUCCAGAAUUGAGGAACAAAGACCGGUAAUGUCCAUGCAAACACUGCCAGAGGGGGAUUUUCCAUCUCUUUUACCGGAGAGGAGGAGUAAGCUACUGACCGUCACAGCAGAGGUGCACCCUCCUCCUCCUUCCUUGAACCUGAGGGAAUUCUCCGAACCACUCCUGGCCCCUGCAACGGUUGCCAGGCCCAGGAUGAUGGACUGUGGCACGAUGACCGCCCCCACUAGUGACUGGUCGCCGGAGAAACUUCAAGAACCUGGGAGAGUGGAGGGAGCUUCCUCCCCUCCGUUCCCCUUCCCCUCCCCUGGUUCUCCUGUUCCCCCCUUUGUCUCCCUCCCCAUUCUAUAUUCUCCUACUAUCCCUCUAACACAGGCACCCAAACCGCAGAGGAAGGUUCGGAGGCUGGAGUCACCCACCUCGGUGAUUCACCACGCUCCCUUGACCAGUGGGGUACAUACUCCACCUCGGGCGGCUACAGAUUGGCAGUCCUGUGAUGAUGAGUCGGAGGAUGAAACGACACGACGGGCAGGGCCUUUUGUCCCUCCUACUUCUGGUGCCCGUGUGAGUCAGGGGACCUCCUCGUCAUCGGAUUCUUCUUCAGAGGAGGACCAACCGCUGGUGGACAAGGACUCAGACAGCCCCAUUCCACCGACCCCUCCGCCGAUGGGACCUGCGGCCCAGGGCACUCCUGCUCUCAACAAACCACGGGUUUCCUCCCCUUUAUCUUUACAAAAACCUUUUAGGCAUAUGACUACACUAAAUAAAAUGAGGGAUUGGAAGAUUUCAUACAAAUGCAAAUUGGUAGUGCUUGGAGACUCCAAUCUGGCUAGAUACCACCCUUUGCACAGAAAGAUCUACAGAUUGAUUGUUAUCCAGGGGCAACUUUUAGAAAUGCCGAGGCCAUUUUGGCCGGCUCUAGGGCCUCUCCCAUAGUACAUACCUUAGUUUUGGCCUUGGGGAUAAACAAUAGGGCCCAGAGUCCUGACAAGACUUCCAUUAAACAACUGCAAGGGGCAAUCAGAAUGGCCAAGUACACCUGUCCGGAAGCGCAGGUAGUGGUCCCACUCAGAGGGAGAAUCUGUCCAAACUGAACAAUUACAUUGCCAGACAACAAUGUUUUCUCCCCAAACUGUCAGGUGAUCUGUUUGAGACGGAGAGGGACAACAUUCAUUGGACUCAAAGCACAGCUCGGCGCAUGCUGGACCACUGGCUGACCUGUUUAAACAAGUUGUCCCCGUGAAUCCUGUUCUGGGUACGGGGGACAAGACUGUGGUUAACUUAUCUAAGCACUUUAUUCCUACAGGAGCACAGCUGACAUUGUUACAUAAGGGUUUAACUUUCAUUCCAUCAGUGGACGGUCACAAUAACCCUAGGGUCAGAGGUCAAAUUAGACAUGACCUGCAACAGUACCAUAGACGGAUCAAGCUGGCGGUAUACUUUGAAGACCAGCCUGAUUCUAAACCUUUGCCUUUUACACAUAGGUCUACCUGGGUCCCUCCUGCUGACAAACUACCAUCCAGUGUAUUACGUUUGAUUAAGGAUGAUAUUGAUUAUUUUCAAUCUGAUUUUACUAUUGGUAGAACGGAUUCAAAUCUAAACCAUUUGGAGAUUAAGGCACACAAAACACUGCUUUCUGAUAACACCAUAGUUAUCAAGCCUGCUGACAAGGGCAGUGCUAUAGUCAUUAUGGAUAGGGCUCAAUACCUUUGGGAAGGAUAUAGACAACUGAACGAUGCCACAUAUUACAGUAAAUUGGACAAACCCAUUUACAGGGACACCAUUCCUAUGGUUAAUAAAAUUCUUGACUCCCUUAAGGCCAAGAAAUUUAUCAACCACAAACAAAAGACAUAUUUGCAAGGAGACUCUGACCCUAGAGCCAGGUUGUUCUAUAUGUUACCCAAGAUACACAAGGCCAGGUCAUCCUGGAACAGAGAUGGGGAAAUUCCACCAGGUAGACCUAUAGUGUCUGACUGUAAUAGUGAAACCUAUUUUACGGCUGAAUACAUUGAUUCAUUCCUUAAUCCUCUCUCAAUUGGUCAUCCCAGCUAUGUCAAAGAUACAUACCACUUUAUUGAUAUAGUCAAAAACCUUACUAUCCCUAUAAAUUAUUUUCUAUUUACUAUGGAUGUAGAAAGUCUCUAUACAAACAUUGACAUUAAGGAGGGCAUCCAAUCAAUUAAAAAUGUUUUUAUGAAACAUCCAAACAGUAAAAGGCCUGAUAAGGAAUUACUUCAAUUAUUAGAUAUAAAUUUAUCUAGGAAUGAUUUUGAAUUCGAUAAUAAAUUCUAUUUGCAGAUUAAAGGGACUGCCAUGGGGAAGAAAUUUGCCCCAGCCUAUGCUAACAUUUUCAUGGCAGAGUGGGAGGCCUCUGCCUUAGCUACCUGUCCCAAACAACCUCUACAAUACUAUAGGUUCUUAGACGACAUCUGGGGGAUCUGGACCUAUUCGAGGGAGGACUUUGAGGAAUUUAUUAAUACUCUAAACAAUCACAAUAAGUCUAUUAAGGUCAAAUCUACUUGGAGUGAGUCUUCAGUAGACUUUCUGGACACUACCACUUACAAAGGCCCUACAUUCAUUGAUUCAGGUAAAUUGGACAUUAAAGUCUUCUUCAAAGAAACAGAUACACAUGCCCUGUUAUUCCGGUCUAUUUUCCAUCCGCAGCAUACGUAUGCAGGACUCUUAAAGUCACAACUACUCCGGUUUCAUAGGAUCUGUACAAGGUAUGAGGACUUUAAGUGGGCCACCCAAAUAUUGUUCUCUGCUUUGUCCACUAGAGGCUAUACUAGGACUAUGUUUAGAAAGGCACUCAAAUCUUUUAAACAAGCUAAACCACAAGUAUUAGAUUCCAUUUUGCCGGUCAUUACUACUUAUUCACCCUACACAGUAAAACUUAUGAGGGUGAUUAAGUCACACUUUAAUUCCUUUACAGAAAGGUCUAACCACUUACCUGAUCAUAGGUUGAUUGCAGCAUACAGGCGCAACAAAAACUUACAAGAUACAUUGGUAAAGGCCAAGUUGAAACCUUUGUCUCCCCCCAAACAGGCUGGCAAAGGGGAAUUCUUUAAGUAUUCAUUUUGGGCCACUAACCGCCAUAGUGGGGAGGUUUUCAGGACACAGGCUAACACCAAUGUACACACCAAAAACUGUGUGUAUUUGAUCAAGUGCAAACACUGCACUCUACAAUAUGUGGGGGAAACUGGUAACACUUUAUUGACUAGGUUUGCCCAACACAGAUACACCAUCACUAAGAGAAGGGGCACUGGUACUCCCCUAGUACGACAUUUUGGUACACAGGGCUGGUCCAAUCUGGCGGCCACUGUCUUAGAGGCUAAUUCAAGGUGGUCCAGGGCCCAGAGAAGGAGGGUUGAAAGGCUCUGGAUUCACAGGCUCAGCACAACUCAACCGUUGGGUUUGAACGAGGGGUGAGGGUCCUGGGGUUGACCGCGGGUGCAUAGUUUAUGCACUGGUGCCUUCGGCACCCACUCUAUCUGUUUCCUAACCCUAACCCUAACCCUAACCCUAGAUCCUUUACCUGGCAGGCAUAAAAAAUAUCAC